GCUCCGUGCAGGCGGCGAGGCCGCUUGCUUGGGCCGGCGCGGGCCCUUUUGUUCCCGCCGUUCUGCCUUUGAGGAAAAGCCCCGAGGGCUCCAUGCACACGCAAGAAGGAACGGGUCUUGGAAUGGGCCGAUCCUGACUCGUGUCAGGGUGGGGGAGCGUGCACCAGAGGGACACAAGGGGUAAACAUAGAGGUCUUCACCUGGUGCCAAGAAUGAUACCCAGCCCGUAACCUUUGCUUGGCCUGAUCCUACCUGUAUUGAGUGAGUUGGAGCUAAGUCCUAUUGAGAUCUACAGGACUUACGUCCAGCUUUAUCUGCACAACAACCCUGUGAGGCUGAGAGUUGGUGGCUGGUCCAGGGAGCUUUUGAGGCCAAAUGGGGGCUAGAACCCGGAUUGCCCUCAUCCCAGUCCAACACUCAACAAGAUCGAGGCCAGCUCGGAGGUUGAAGGGGCCCCUCCUGUGCCACUUGGCUGAAGACACUCGGUGCUGAUGUGUGUUCUCUCCAGUAUCCCUUGGGAUAUUACUGCUUCUUGAAAAGACCUCUGUGAGUCUGAGAAGCAGGCCUUGGUGCUCAGCAGUGCUGGGCGAUGGAAAAAGCAGCAGUGAGCCAGGGGUGUAAAUGACGCUGAAGAGAAGCAGACAAAUAGAGGUGCCAUGCUUGCUGAAGGAACUAAACUUGCCCACGUUGGGCUGUUUUUCGGAUUACAUAAUUUUAUCCAGCCAUUCUUCAUAAACACAACCACCCACCACCA